AUUAUUUUCGACCAUGUUACCAAUAGUGUAUCCACAGGUAGCAGACGACAAUAAAUUUUAAAGUGGAAAUUUGCGACUUCCUGUGUGUCUGCUACUCGAUGUUGUGAUCUCAGUUACUUGACGUUCAGUAUAUGAAAUGAGGGUUGAGUUUCAGGAUUUGAAAUUAGGAAAGAACGAAAGAUAUGAAAUGAGCACCGGCAAACUGAUCUUAGCAUGUUACAUCCUUAUCACAGAACUGGAACCUACUGAUUAAGAUGAGAAAUACGGAACAUGGUAAAUUGAGCGGGUGAAGGAACGAAGAAAACACCACCCUCUUUACAGUCAGCAGAAUAACUAUGCUUCCGGUUUGGAACUACUGCAUGCUGUUACAACAUAUUUGACAAAGAGAUUUUAAUCCACCUGAUACGAUUUGGUAUCUUUCUAAAAUGUCAUGUUCAACUUCUGAAUGGUGUUUUUUUCUGCCAAGUUUAAGAAAUAUAUUAAGAUGUAACUGUCUAAUAUUUAUGGCAAUUAUGAAGUGAUAAGUUUUUGGCGUAGUAAUAAAAACCAUAAAGGAUGUUAGCUAGAUUGGAUUUUCUACAUGAGCUUGAAAAAAUAAUACCUUCAUAAAUGCCGUGAUGUGAACAGAAUAGAAGGGAUAUUUUAUUUGCUUUUUGCAUUGUACAUCUUCUAUUUACCAACAUACUGUACCGUCAAUGUAUUGUAAUGGCAAUAAUGAGUAUAAUUGCAAUAAUGAAUAAUGCACUUUUUUGCAAUGUAUAUUUCAAUUGGUGUGAUAAGUAAAAUUUGAUCAGGAAUGUAUUUACAUUUAUUAAGACUUAAUAUAUAUAUGCAAACAUACUGUACCGUUAACAUAAUGGCAAUAGUAAAAUUGCAGAAAUGAAUGAUGAGCAUUUUUACAAUGUAUAUUUCAAGAAGUGUAAUAUGUAACAUUUAAUAGUUAAUAAAGACAUACUAGGCCGUACAAUGAGAAAUAAUGAUAAUUUAACAACGUCAUGAUAGAAACAUCCAUUUGAAAUUUCUUAAGAUUUAGAUAAUAAUAAUACCACCAAGAAUAUCACCACUACCACCAAAAACAACAUUAAUGAAACAUAAUGAAAACUCCAACGAUGAAAUAUUUUAUCAUUCAAACACAUGCAAUGGUGAAAAAAUGAAAUUAAAUAUUAAAGUAAUUGUAAUAACGACCAGAAGAACAAUAAUGGAAUAAAAGAAUGAAAUAAAACUAUGAAUAAAAUAAAAUAAAAACAACAAAAUGAAAUGAAAUAAACAAUAAUGAAAUAAAAUGAAAACAAAAAUAAUGAAAUACAAGUCCGCUUCCGAUAAUAUUAUCAACCAUAUACAUGAUAUAAUGUGUUCCUUUAUAUUUAGAAGUAUCAUUUGUUUCAUUUUUUUUAAAUGCUUUAAAUAAGGAGUCACAAAGGGUUACUUUAUCAUUUUCAUUUCCAAGCUUCAUUGCCGGAUAGCCACUGAUAUCCACUGCCUAACCAUUAACAUUCAUCUUGAUUACAUGUUUAUCAA